rnacentral:lncRNA from 1 species
CCCCAACCAUGCAGGCUGGCAUCCGAUUCUAUCACCAUAUCCGGAGUGGCACCGAAGAUUGCUCGACCGUUCCAUGCCUCCAUAUGAUCCAACCACCACCGUAGUUCCUCCUUGGAGUCUCUGUCCAGGCGUAGUUCGCUUUCGUACGAACUGCCCGAGCGAAGGUGGGAUCCCUUCAGACGUUGCAGUGCUUGAUAAUGUAGGGGUCCCGGGAAAAUCGCCUGAAUGGAG